rnacentral:rRNA from 1 species
CAGUAGCCGCGGUAAUACGUAGGUGGCGAGCGUUGUCCGGAAUUAUUGGGCGUAAAGGGCUCGCAGGCGGUUUCUUAAGUCUGAUGUGAAAGCCCCCGGCUCAACCGGGGAGGGUCAUUGGAAACUGGGAAACUUGAGUGCAGAAGAGGAGAGUGGAAUUCCACGUGUAGCGGUGAAAUGCGUAGAGAUGUGGAGGAACACCAGUGGCGAAGGCGACUCUCUGGUCUGUAACUGACGCUGAGGAGCGAAAGCGUGGGGAGCGAACAGGAUUAGAUACCCGCGUAGUCCCUGUCUCUUAUAC